UUUUUUCCAAGUACGUUUUCAGAUUACUCCCGUUUACAGUGUCAAUCAAAACCAUAUUAUAAUAUUAAUGUCGCCUCGCCUGCAGUUAUAUACACUUCAUCCGUCCUUUAAGGCGGUGGAGACAGACGAAGCCAUUAAUGAAUGUCUCGAAAAUCACUCCAAUUUCCCGCUUCUUCAUUCCACAACUUCACCCAUAUAAACAGGCAGAACCUGCAAAUUUGCAUUGUGGGUUUUGCUUAAAAACAAGAAAAUUCUAAUGGGUCUGAAAGUUCAACAAAGAGGGAGAAAGAGAUGGAGGUGGAACAGAGGCAGAAACAGAGCGAGAGAAAGUAGAAGCAGCUUGAAUAUAUAUAAUUUACGAUCUCUGACUGUGGAGUGUUUAUGAUCCAUGGUCAUGGUUGUGGAAUGACAUCGAAUUUCACACAGGCACACAUCCUCUCUGAACCCCAACAACUAAAAGAUUGUCUGAAACAGAGGACCAGUUUGUAAAUAUUUUACAAGUGUCAAGUAAAUCAAUUUACCAAGCAAAUCCGAAUUUGUAAAUGGUGUAAUGUAGAAAUUCAAUACUAUGAAUUUUUUGUGGCAAUCCUCUUGGAACGUGCCAGGAAAAUAUAUUUUUUUUGCGAGGAAUAAUUUUUAAGUAUUUUCCCGUAUCAAAUAAAUUAAUUUACUAGACAAAUCCAAAUUUGUAAGUAGUGUACUGUAAAAAUUCAGUACUAUGAACUUUUUGUGGAAGUCCGCUUAUAACAUGCAAGUAAAAUAUGUUCUUUUGCUUUUAUACAAUGCAUGCAUACCUUACGUACAUACACUAUUUUGUUAACUUGGAAACCUUUCCAAUCUAGCUUGAGGAUAUGAGAGACUUUUGAGGUUGGGGCUGCU